rnacentral:siRNA from 1 species
CUUCAGCUCAAUCUUGGUGUC